CAACAAUAAUCAAAGUUCUAAACAAAGCAUUUUCCUUUAUUACUACUAAUGAUUUACUGUAGCGCUACAGUAUUUCUGGAAAAUGUUUCGAAAAGUGGACCAGAUUUUGCUUGAUAAUUGUUCACCUGUUAUUCAAAUGUCGUCUUGAAUAUUUACUUGCAAUUUUCUUUAGGUGAAAGUGAAAGUGAUUGUCGUCAGACGCUGCUUGUCUGGAAAAGAUUCUUUUGUUUGUUUAUGAUUGAAAUGGUGUGUUGGUGAAAGAAUUAUUAUUUAAACAUUGCAGCAGCGUUGCAAUACAAGCUCUUCUAAUUGAUGUUAGAUGUUUUUGAAAUUGGAAACGACACUACCAGCUUAUGAUGUGAAUUACCUUGAAGCAAGGUCAACACACACUGAAACAGCUUAAUUUUGAGCAGUCGAUAGCGCAAUGGAAAAGUUUGCGAAAAUCAUUGUUCAAAGUUGCAGGAUUGUUUAGAUGAUUCCUUGUCUUCUAUGGAUUCCUGGAUAUGAUGGACACGUGUUUCUGGUGUAAAUAUGGCGUUGAAGAAUCCCAAUUUUUAUUCUUUUCAGUAGUCAUAAUGGCGAUUACAAGAUUUUCGCUCCCCGUUUCGCUUUUGGGUGCCGUUUGCUUUUCAACAUGAUCGUCCUUUGUUGUUUUGUUUGGGUGUGUUGCUUGAUUUUUGUAACUUGCGCCGCCCUUCUUAAUAUAUUUUGGACGCGCAGUGUUGUGCCGUUGAACAGUCGCACUGUUUCUCCAUCUCUCACGGGUUGGAGAAACAAUUGUCGAUCAGUCGGUUUCGGAGCGUGCACACUGGUACCCGAAAGAUGGUGAACUAUGCUUGAGCAGAAUGAAGCCAGAGGAAACUCUGGUGGAAGUUCGUAGCGGUGUUGACGUGCAAAUCACUCGUCUGACUUGAGUGUAGGGGCGAAAGACUAAUCGAACCAUCUAGUUGCUGGUUCCUUCCGAAGUUUCCCUCAGGAUAGCUGGCAUUUGUGUGUAACAAUUUUAUCCGGUAGAGCGAAUGAUUAGAGGUGUUGGGAACGCAAUGUUCUCAGCCUAUUCUCAAACUUCGAAUGGGUAAGCAAGGCGAUUUGCUUUGAUCUGUUGAUGAAAUCGCCCAACUUUUUUGUGUUGAAGAAUGUAUAAAUGCCUAGUGGGCCAAUUUUGGUAAGCAGAACUGGCGAUGUGGAAUGAACCAAAAGUCAGGUUAAGGUGCCAGACAUUGGCGCUCAUGAAAUACCAGAAAAGGUGUUGGUCGAUAUAGACAGCAGGACGGUGGCCAUGGAAGUUGGAAUCCGCCAAGGAGUGUGUAACAACUCACCUGCCGAAUCGACUAGCCCUGAAAAUGGAUAGCGUUUGAGCGCCAGGCCCAUACCUGACCGUCUCAGUUACGCACUUUUGUUGUUUCAAUGAUGAAGGUGUAAUGAACGUUGAGACGGGUAGGAAGGUCGCGACAGUGUUGCUUUGAAGAGUUUUGAGCGUGAGCUCGCUCGGAGCCGCUGUUGGUGCAGAUCUUGGUGGUAGUAGCAAAUAUUCAAGUGAGAACCUUGAAGGCUGAAGUGGAGCAAGGUUCCAUGUGAACAGCAGUUGGACAUGGGUCAGUCGAUCCUAAGAAAACGGCGAAAGCUUGUUCGAAUUUACGACAUAAAAUGUAAAACUGUGUGUAGUGUGCUUGUGUGUGUGUGUGUGUGUGUGUGUACUAUACUGAUAUAGCAGUAGUGGUGGUGGUGGUAGUUUGUCAGCAGUAGUGUUUGUCUGUGGCAGUGCUGCUGCUGCUGCUGCUAUUGUUGUGCGGGUGCUUUUUACUUGCUGUUGUUGUGUGUUGUUGUACACACACACCCACACAAUUCUGUGUGCAGUUGUCGUAUGUUUUCGAAAGGGAAUCCGGUUGAUAUUCCGGAACCGAGUAACGGAGACAAAGAGUAGCGCUUUAAUCUUCCGGUUGGCGUUCAACUCAAUCGCGCGGUAACGCAAGCGAACUCGGAAAAUGACCGUCGUGAGUUUCGAAAAGAGUUUUCUUUUCUUUUUAAGGGACGCAUUCCCUGGAACCGGGUUGUCCGGAGAUAGGGAUUCUGGUAUCCAUAAAACGCCGACUCUUUCACGGUGUUCGGAGCGCUCUCGUCGGUACGUGAAAAUCCGAGCGACGCCUGGUAAAUCUCGUACUUGGUCGUACUGAUAUCCGCAGCAGGUCUCCAAGGUGAAUAGCCUCUGGCCGAUAGAAUAAUGUAGGUAAGGGAAGUCGGCAAAACGGAUCCGUAACUUCGGAACAAGGAUUGGCUCUAAGGGCUGGGCCGAUCGGGCUGAGGUUUCAAGCGUGCAGUGUAUGCUUGGCUGAGCUGUGCUGAGGAUUGAUUAGCUUGGUGCCGUUUGUUGACCCAAGCGGCUGUCCAGGUGGUCAUGUCUGAAGCAAAGCUGGCCGACAGACCGGCACGUGCAGAACCUGAGCUGCGCGGCUGUCAGUUUAUUUGUACAGACCGUUUCGGUCGGCAUUCAACAGCCAAC
rnacentral:rRNA from 1 species